rnacentral:rRNA from 1 species
GCAAGUCGAACGAUGAUAUCACUGCUUGCAGUGAUUGAUUAGUGGCGAACGGGUGAGUAACACGUGAGGAACUUGCCCAUGAGCGGGGGACAACAUUCGGAAACGGAUGCUAAUACCCCAUAGGUGGAUUGGUCGCAUGACGAAUUCAUUAAAGGUGGCUUUGCUACCACUCAUGGAUAGCCUCGCGGCGUAUUAGCUAGUUGGUAAGGUAGUGGCUUACCAAGGCAGUGAUACGUAGCCGACUUGAGAGGGUGAUCGGCCACACUGGGACUGAGACACGGCCCAGACUCCUACGGGAGGCAGCAGUAGGGAAUCUUCCACAAUGGGUGCAAACCUGAUGGAGCAAUGCCGCGUGAGUGAAGAAGGUCUUCGGAUCGUAAAGCUCUGUUGUUAGAGAAGAACACGUGCUAGGUAACUACUAGCGCCUUGACGGUAUCUAACCAGAAAGUCACGGCUAACUACGUGCCAGCAGCCGCGGUAAUACGUAGGUGACAAGCGUUGUCCGGAUUUAUUGGGCGUAAAGGGAGCGCAGGCGGUCUGUUUAGUCUAAUGUGAAAGCCCACGGCUUAACCGUGGAACGGCAUUGGAAACUGACAGACUUGAAUGUAGAAGAGGAAAAUGGAAUUCCAAGUGUAGCGGUGGAAUGCGUAGAUAUUUGGAGGAACACCAGUGGCGAAGGCGAUUUUCUGGUCUAACGUUGACGCUGAGGCUCGAAAGCGUGGGGAGCGAACAGGAUU